GGAGUGCCGGGAGGACUCCGCGGAGCCGCCCGGAGGUUCAGGGAGCGCGGGAUCCAAGUGGUGGUGCGGUGGGGACGGUGAGGUGGAGAAUAAGCCGAUGGGAGAACCUUGGGCCCCGAUCCGGUGGGGAGCCGGGUGGAAGCCGCCCUGGGGACUGAUGUCCUGUGGGUCCAACUGGGGGUGGCAUCUGGAUGGAGGCCGAGUGAGCCUCCGCCUCCCGGUCCUGCAGGGUUGCAUGGAGCCCCACGCCCCCCGCCCCAUUUUCUAAGGGAUUGAGGGAGUUGUUUUACUUCUGGGAGUGGAGGCUCCCUUAGACUGGCUAGCAGGACCGUCGCGGUGGUUGCCUCUGCUGAGGUGCUGGCGGCGACCCGCGCGUCUUUAGAUGGAGAAGCCGGCUUUCACCUAAGGAGUUGGGGGAAACUUUGUCCUUAUUUGUGUCUUCUUGCUAUUUAUUUGCAACAAUCAUGCCCCCUCUACUAGGUUUGGGCCUUCACUUAUUUCUCAUACGGAAGUGAUUUGCAAAGGUCUUAAAAGAAACCGUUAUUGGAAGAGUCUGUCUACACUAUGGAAAGAUGGGAAAUUUCAUUUCCUGCUGAGGGUGUCUCAAGGGUUAAAGAAAAUGCUGUUAUCUGUGCUUCCCCCACCCACUUCUCCCUUUUGCACUUUAUUCUGAGAACAGAAUUGACUGUGGUUUUGGGGGGGUUAGUGGAGGUAUGCACUAUAUCUAUUAGGACAUAAUAAAAUUAGAGCAGAUAGUUUCUCCUAUUAAAAAAAAAA